rnacentral:misc_RNA from 1 species
UCCGGCAUUACCCGCUGGCAACUAAGGGCGAGGGUUGCGCUCGUUGCGGGACUUAACCCAACAUCUCACGACACGAGCUGACGACUGCCAUGCAGCACCUGUGCGGGCUCCGAGGAGCACCGUAUCUCUACGGCUUUUCCCUACAUGUCAAACCCAGGUAAGGUUCUUCGCGUUGCCUCGAAUUAAGCAACAUGCUCCGCCGCUUGUGCGGGCCCCCGUCAAUUCCUUUGAGUUUCAUUCUUGCGAACGUACUCCCCAGGCGGGAUACUUAACGCGUUAGCUACAGCAUUGCACGGGUCGAUACGCACAGCGCCUAGUAUCCAUCGUUUACGGCUAGGACUA